AGCUCCAAUAGCGUAUAUUAAAGUUGUUGCGGUUAAAAAGCUCGUAGUUGACCUUCAGUUCCGGACUGACGGUGCACCGCCCGGUGUCUGUCCGUCAUGCUCCGAACAGCAGGGGAUCACCCUGCCCGGCCGGCUCGCACGGGGUGCUCUUCAUCGAGUGUCCCGCGUGGCCGGCGAGUUUACUUUGAAAAAAUUAGAGUGCUCAAAGCAGGCUACUCGAAUGGCCUGAAUGGUGAUGCAUGGAAUAAUGAAAUAGGACCUCGGUUCUAUUUUAUUGGUUUUCGGAACCCGAGGUAAUGACUAAUAGAAACAGGCGGGGGCAUUCGUACUGCGACGCUAGAGGUGAAAUUCUUGGACCGUCGCAAGACGAACUACUGCGAAAGCAUUUGCCAAGGAUGUUUUCA
rnacentral:rRNA from 1 species